rnacentral:rRNA from 1 species
UACGAGGGGUGCAAGCGUUGCUCGGAAUUAUUGGGCGUAAAGGGUAGGUAGGUGGUCUUGUUUGUCAGGGGUGAAAGCCUUGGGCUUAACCUAAGAAGUGCCCCUGAAACGGCAAGACUAGAGUUCUGGAGAGGGUCGUGGAAUUCCCGGUGUAGCGGUGAAAUGCGUAGAGAUCGGGAGGAACACCAGAGGCGAAGGCGGCGACCUGGACAGAUACUGACACUCAACUACGAAAGCGUGGGGAGCAAACAGG